rnacentral:rRNA from 1 species
CGCUAAUACCGCAUGAGACUACAGAGCUGCAUGGCUCAGUGGUCAAAGGAGCAAUCCGCUGAAAGAUGGACUCGCGUCCGAUUAGAUAGUAGGCGGGUAACGGCCCACCUAGUCGACGAUCGGUAGCCGGACUGAGAGGUUGAACGGCCACAUUGGGACUGAGACACGGCCCAGACUCCUACGGGAGGCAGCAUG